rnacentral:rRNA from 1 species
GAUGAACGCUAGCGGCAGGCUUAACACAUGCAAGUCGAGGGGCAGCAUGUCGGAACCUUCAGGUUCUGAUGAUGGCGACCGGCGCAAGGGUGCGUAACGCGUGAGCAACUUGCCCGUUUCUGGGGAAUAACCGUUGGAAACGACGACUAAUACCCCAUAGUAUCAUGAUGAGGCAUCUCUUCAUGAUUAAAGAGAUUCGGAAACGGAUAGGCUCGCGUGACAUUAGCUAGAUGGUGGGGUAACGGCCCACCAUGGCGACGAUGUCUAGGGGUUCUGAGAGGAAGGUCCCCCACACUGGAACUGAGACACGGUCCAGACUCCUACGGGAGGCAGCAGUGAGGAAUAUUGGUCAAUGGACGAGAGUCUGAACCAGCCAAGUAGCGUGCAGGAUGACGGCCCUCUGGGUUGUAAACUGCUUUUAGUUGGAAUAAAAGAGGACGUGUCCCUUAUGUAUGUACCGUAUGAAUAAGCAUCGGCUAACUCCGU